rnacentral:rRNA from 1 species
UACGAAGGGGGCUAGCGUUGCUCGGAAUGACUGGGCGUAAAGGGCGCGUAGGCGGACGGCUUUGUCGGGCGUGAAAUUCCAGGGCUUAACCUUGGGGCUGCGUUCGAGACGGGUGGUCUAGAGUUUGGAAGAGGGUCGUGGAAUUCCCAGUGUAGAGGUGAAAUUCGUAGAUAUUGGGAAGAACACCGGUGGCGAAGGCGGCGACCUGGUCCUUGACUGACGCUGAGGCGCGAAAGCGUGGGGAGCAAACAGG